rnacentral:misc_RNA from 1 species
GAGCUGAGCAGUUCAACGGGGACAACCACACUACCUGUGCCUCUAAAAUUGAACUUCACUGUGAGAUCAAGAGCUUACGUUUUGGGAAAACUGGUUAAGCCAAAAUUCUACAAGAGAAUCGAAUGUGAUGUUACUUUUGAUACAAAGAAGCUCAAUGUUCCAAUGUCACUCAAGAAUUCUUGCACAUAUGAUUGAUUGAUGAUAUGAACAGAGCAGAGCAGCCGCAUCAAGAUGAUGAAUUUUACAUAUUUAAUUUCCCCUUUAAUUCAUUGUUUGUUUCUUUUCGUGGAAAUGAGAAACAGCUGAGCAGAGCGGGCGGCUUUGAAGAUGGGUGGGCAAGGGGCUUUUCACCUUUUGGUUUCCCAAGUGCCCGUAGAAUUUGAAAACAGGCUGGAGUGGAUUCGGUAGUGACUUGCGAGCGAUAACUUUUCUUUUGUUCACUUUACU